GACAGAGGGGGCAAGCGUUGCUCGGAAUCACUGGGCGUAAAGGGCGCGUAGGCGGGACGGCAAGUCGGUCGUGAAAUCCCUCGGCUCAACUGAGGGGGGUCGGCCGAUACUGCCGUUCUUGAGGGAUGCAGAGGAGACUGGAAUUCCCGGUGUAGCGGUGAAAUGUGUAGAGAUCGGGAGGAACACCGGUGGCGAAGGCGGGUCUCUGGGCAUUCCCUGACGCUGAGGCGCGAAAGCGUGGGGAGCAAACGGG
rnacentral:rRNA from 1 species